rnacentral:rRNA from 1 species
UACCAGCACCCCGAGUGUUCGGGACGAUUAUUGGGCCUAAAGCGUCCGUAGCCGGUCUUGCAAGUCUUCUGUUAAAUCCAGCUGCUUAACAGAUGGGCUGCGGAGGAUACUACAAGGCUAGGAGGCGGGAGAGGCAAGCGGUACUCAGUGGGUAGGGGUAAAAUCCUCUGAUCCAUUGAAGACCACCAGUGGCGAAGGCGGCUUGCGAGAAUGAGCUCGACGGUGAGGGAUGAAAGCUGGGGGAGCAAACAGG